ACUGCUAAUACCGCAUACGAUCUAAUCUCGGCAUCGAGGAUAGAUGAAAGGUGGCCUCUACAUGUAAGCUAUCACUGAAGGAGGGGAUUGCGUCUGAUUAGCUAGUUGGUGAGGUAAUGGCUCACCAAGGCGACGAUGCGUAGCCGACCUGAGAGGGUGAUCGGCCACAUUGGGACUGAGACACGGCCCAGACUCCUACGGGAGGCAGCAUG
rnacentral:rRNA from 1 species